rnacentral:rRNA from 1 species
AUAUCAAUAAGCGGAGGAAAAGAAACUAACAAGGAUUCCCCUAGUAACGGCGAGUGAAGCGGGAAGAGCUCAAAUUUAAAAUCUGGUUUGCUUGCAAAUCCGAGUUGUAGUCUGAAGAAACGUUUUCCAUGAAAGCUGAGGCACAAGUCCUUUGGAACAGGGCAUCAUAGAGGGUGAGAAUCCCGUCCAUGGUCUCAGGCCUUUCAUUUUGUGAUACGUUUUCUAAGAGUCAGGUUGUUUGGGAAUGCAGCCUAAAAUGGGUGGUAAAUUUCAUCUAAAGCUAAAUAUUGGCGAGAGACCGAUAGCGCACAAGUA